rnacentral:rRNA from 1 species
GAUGAACGCUGGCGGCGUGCCUAAUACAUGCAAGUCGAGCGAACGGACGAGAAGCUUGCUUCUCUGAUGUUAGCGGCGGACGGGUGAGUAACACGUGGAUAACCUACCUAUAAGACUGGGAUAACUUCGGGAAACCGGAGCUAAUACCGGAUAAUAUUUUGAACCGCAUGGUUCAAAAGUGAAAGACGGUCUUGCUGUCACUUAUAGAUGGAUCCGCGCUGCAUUAGAUAGUUGGUAAGGUAACGGCUUACCAAGGCAACGAUGCAUAGCCGACCUGAGAGGGUGAUCGGCCACACUGGAACUGAGACACGGUCCAGACUCCUACGGGAGGCAGCAGUAGGGAAUCUUCCGCAAUGGGCGAAAGCCUGACGGAGCAACGCCGCGUGAGUGAUGAAGGUCUUCGGAUCGUAAAACUCUGUUAUUAGGGAAGAACAGAUGUGUAAGUAACUGUGCACAUCUUGACGGUACCUAAUCAGAAAGCCACGGCUAACUACGUG